ACGCACGCUGGCGGCAUGCCUAACACAUGCAAGUCGAACGAGACCUUCGGGUCUAGUGGCGCACGGGUGCGUAACGCGUGGGAACCUGCCUUUAGGUUCGGAAUAACUCAGAGAAAUUUGAGCUAAUACCGGAUGAUGUCUUCGGACCAAAGAUUUAUCGCCUUUAGAUGGGCCCGCGUUGGAUUAGCUAGUUGGUGGGGUAAAGGCCUACCAAGGCGACGAUCCAUAGCUGGUCUGAGAGGAUGAUCAGCCACACUGGGACUGAGACACGGCCCAGACUCCUACGGGAGGCAGCAGUGGGGAAUAUUGGACAAUGGGCGAAAGCCUGAUCCAGCAAUGCCGCGUGAGUGAUGAAGGCCUUAGGGUUGUAAAGCUCUUUUACCCGAGAUGAUAAUGACAGUAUCGGGAGAAUAAGCUCCGGCUAACUCCGUG
rnacentral:rRNA from 1 species